GACGAACGCUGGCGGCGUGCUUAACACAUGCAAGUCGAACGGAAAGUCCCUGCUUUUGUGGGGUGCUCGAGUGGCGAACGGGUGAGUAACACGUGAGUAACCUGCCCUUGACUUUGGGAUAACUUCAGGAAACUGGGGCUAAUACCGGAUAGGAGCUCCUGCUGCAUGGUGGGGGUUGGAAAGUUUCGGCGGUUGGGGAUGGACUCGCGGCUUAUCAGCUUGUUGGUGGGGUAGUGGCUUACCAAGGCUUUGACGGGUAGCCGGCCUGAGAGGGUGACCGGCCACAUUGGGACUGAGAUACGGCCCAGACUCCUACGGGAGGCAGCAGUGGGGAAUAUUGCACAAUGGGCGGAAGCCUGAUGCAGCAACGCCGUGUGCGGGAUGACGGCCUUCGGGUUGUAAACCGAUUUCGCCUGUGACGAAGCGUGAGUGACGGUAAUGGGUAAAGAAGCACCGGCUAACUACGUG
rnacentral:rRNA from 1 species